GAGAGCCCGGUACUCGGAGACGGGUACGCCGGGUUCGGCGAGCGGCACGGAGAAACGGACCGGUGGCAACACCGGCACCGCGCUCCGUGCCGACUCAAC
rfam:Streptomyces hygroscopicus ATCC 53653 genomic scaffold supercont1.1, whole genome shotgun sequence.